ensembl:snoRNA U3 Small nucleolar RNA U3
AAGAUUAUACUUUCAGAGAUUAUUACUGAAGUUUGUUAUUAGAGAAGCUUGUCUGAACGUGUAGAGUACCGGAAACCACGAGGAAGAGGUGUAGUGUUCUCUUUUGAGCGUGAAGUUGGUAUUUGGUACUCUUUUAUGGUGUUUGGUUUGUGCUAUUGAUGAUCGUUCUUCUCUUCUUUUGGAAGAGUAAGAGGGAGAGAGCGCAAUCUGAGUGGU